CUCACCUGAGUGUAUACAGUCAGUCUGCUUCCUUUGUUUCUUUGCCAGUUCGUCUUUGUACUUUGUAGCGUUCCAGCCCUUCCUAGUGUUUUUUGGAUUUACUUCAUUUGUUGACUUUUCUGGCUGAUUUGAUCAGGCUUUGGAUUUGUUUGGCCAUGCUGGACUGCUUUACUGGUUUAAACUUUGCCUACCUCAUCAUACCCGUAAGCCUGCUGUACACUUUCUUUUGCCAUUAAAUCAUUGAACUUGACAAGCUCUGGCUCUGUGUCUGCGUUUGGAUCCUAUAGCCUCUUGUUCCUGAGUUCCCUGCUUGAACAUCCCCAACAGUAUAUUAAUUCUACUCUGCAAACAGCUCAGUUUAAAAAAAGAAAGAUUCAUUCAACAAUUAGUCUGAAGAGUACCAAGCUCUCCAUCCUGAUUAUCUUUGUACUGAAGCCACCAACUCCUGGAGCGGUGCACACUAUGGCCACAUGGGAUGCUGACAGGCACACACACACAUACACACACACACACACACACACCCCAAGAUCAGAGGAUUUCCUGCUGCUCAGUGUGGUCGUGGAAGUGUGAGGGUACCUCCUGGCACAGAGCCUUAGCUGGACAGCACA